AUGGCCGGCGGCGACGGCGGCGGGGGCGGCGGUGCGCAGGACGACUUCUUCGACCAGAUGCUGUCCACGCUGCCCUCCGCGUGGGGCGACCUGGGCGCCGGCGGGAAGUCGCCCUGGGAGAUCGCGGCGGGCGCCGAGGACCUCGGCGCCUUCGACGAGUCGACGCUGCUCGCGUCCAGGCUCCGGCAGCACCAGAUCGGGGGAGAGAAGCCGGUCAUGCUGCAGCUCACCGACCUCCAGCGGCAGGGCCUCGGCGGCGAGGAGAGCGGCGGCACGGGGUUCUCGCCGCUGCCGCUGUUCGCGGACCGGUCACCCCCGCAGUCUCGAGAGGAGAUGGACGGCGGCUUCAAGUCGCCCAAUGGCACGGGAGGCGACCACGCGCUGUUCAACGGAUUUGGGGUGCAUGGCGGCGGCACCGCCGUGCAGCCGCCGUUUGGCCAGGGAGGUUCAAUGUCGGGGCAGAGCUUCGGAGGAGGGCCGGCAGCGAGCGGAGGCACGACGGCGCCCGCUUCCUCUGGCGGCGGCGCGGCCCCGCCGCGGCAGACGCGCGUGCGGGCGAGGCGAGGGCAGGCCACCGACCCGCACAGCAUCGCCGAACGUCUCCGGCGGGAGAGGAUCGCGGAGCGGAUGAAGUCGCUGCAGGAGCUGGUCCCCAACGCCAACAAGACUGACAAGGCGUCGAUGCUGGACGAGAUCAUCGACUACGUCAAGUUCCUGCAGCUCCAAGUCAAGGUUCUGAGCAUGAGCCGGCUGGGCGGGGCGGCCGGCAUGGCGCCACUGGUGGCCAGCAUGUCCUCUGAGGCGAACAGCAGCGCGAAGAGCAGCAACGGCGGCGGGAACAGCGCGGCGGCCGCGGCCGCCAAGGCGAACGGCGGAGGCGAGAACGGGGGCGGUGGAGGAGGGGGCGGCGGGCUGCGGGUGACGGAGCAUCAGGUGGCCAAGAUGAUGGAGGAGGACAUGGGCACGGCCAUGCAGUACCUGCAGGGGAAGGGCCUCUGCCUCAUGCCCAUCUCCCUCGCCUCCGCCAUCUCCUCCGCCACCACCACCACCACCUCCCCGGCCUCGCUCCUCGCCAGGCAGGCCGUCCGCCCCGCCGCCGCCGCCGCCGCGCUGGCCUCCGCGAACGGCGGCGGCGACGCCGCCGCCGUCCGGCCCGUCAAGGUCGACGCCGGCGCCGCGUCCGGCGGGAAGCCGUGA
rnacentral:rRNA from 1 species